AGAGUUUGAUCCUGGCUCAGAUUGAACGCUGGCGGCAGGCCUAACACAUGCAAGUCGAACGGUAACAGGAAGAAGCUUGCUUCUUUGCUGACGAGUGGCGGACGGGUGAGUAAUGUCUGGGAAACUGCCUGAUGGAGGGGGAUAACUACUGGAAACGGUAGCUAAUACCGCAUAACGUCGCAAGACCAAAGAGGGGGACCUUCGGGCCUCUUGCCAUCGGAUGUGCCCAGAUGGGAUUAGCUUGUUGGUGGGGUAACGGCUCACCAAGGCGACGAUCCCUAGCUGGUCUGAGAGGAUGACCAGCCACACUGGAACUGAGACACGGUCCAGACUCCUACGGGAGGCAGCAGUGGGGAAUAUUGCACAAUGGGCGCAAGCCUGAUGCAGCCAUGCCGCGUGUAUGAAGAAGGCCUUCGGGUUGUAAAGUACUUUCAGCGGGGAGGAAGGGAGUAAAGUUAAUACCUUUGCUCAUUGACGUUACCCGCAGAAGAAGCACCGGCUAACUCCGUGCCAGCAGCCGCGGUAAUACGGAGGGUGCAAGCGUUAAUCGGAAUUACUGGGCGUAAAGCGCACGCAGGCGGUUUGUUAAGUCAGAUGUGAAAUCCCCGGGCUCAACCUGGGAACUGCAUCUGAUACUGGCAAGCUUGAGUCUCGUAGAGGGGGGUAGAAUUCCAGGUGUAACGGUGAAAUGCGUAGAGAUCUGGAGGAAUACCGGUGGCGAAAGCGGCCCCCUGGACGAAGACUAACGCUCAGGUGCGAAAGCGUGGGAGCAAACAGGAUUAGAUACCCUGGUAGUCCACGCCGUAAACGAUGUCGACUUGGAGGUUGUGCCCUUGAGGCGUGGCUUCCGGAGCUAACGCGUUAAGUCGACCGCCUGGGGAGUACGGCCGCAAGGUUAAAACUCAAAUGAAUUGGCGGGGGCCCGCACAAGCGGUGGAGCAUGUGGUUUAAUUCGAUGCAACGCGAAGAACCUUACCUGGUCUUGACAUCCACAGAACUUUCCAGAGAUGGAUUGGUGCCUUCGGGAACUGUGAGACAGGUGCUGCAUGGCUGUCGUCAGCUCGUGUUGUGAAAUGUUGGGUUAAGUCCCGCAACGAGCGCAACCCUUAUCCUUUGUUGCCAGCGGUCCGGCCGGGAACUCAAAGGAGACUGCCAGUGAUAAACUGGAGGAAGGUGGGGAUGACGUCAAGUCAUCAUGGCCCUUACGACCAGGGCUACACACGUGCUACAAUGGCGCAUACAAAGAGAAGCGACCUCGCGAGAGCAAGCGGACCUCAUAAAGUGCGUCGUAGUCCGGAUUGGAGUCUGCAACUCGACUCCAUGAAGUCGGAAUCGCUAGUAAUCGUGGAUCAGAAUGCCACGGUGAAUACGUUCCCGGGCCUUGCACACACGGCCCGUCA
rnacentral:rRNA from 1 species